GUUGAAAAACCGGUUCCAGUACGACCACAGUGUUAAGCAACGUCGAGCCUGGUCAGUACUUAGAUGGGUGACCGCUUGGGAAUACCAGAUGCUGUAAG